GAACUGGGCUAGUGGUCCGCCUCACGGUGUGUACUGCUUGACCGGGUCUUUAACUCUUGGUGAACCGGGGUAGCCUUCACUGGUGAGCGCCGGGGAACCAGGACUUUUACCUUGAGAAAAUUAGAGUGUUCAAAGCAGGCUUAUCAAUGCCCGAAUACAUUAGCAUGGAAUAAUAGAAUAGGACGUGCGGUUCUAUUUUGUUGGUUUCUAGAGUCGCCGUA
rnacentral:rRNA from 1 species